ensembl:lncRNA
AUUUUGCUGGAGAUCCCUGCAUACCUGAGCUCUUCUGCAGGUGAGGGGGUUGCAGCCAGGAGGAGCCUUCCAUGCCUGGAGACAUGAGCACUGUCCUGCAGCCCUACUGAGGAUGCUGAAGUGACCUUUUCUCUUCUACAUGAAAAACAGCAUCCACCAAAACCAACUAAAUGCAGAGAAAUUAAGACUUCCAUCCCUAUGACAGAUGGUAUUUAAGGCCCAAUCCUAAUGUUGGCAACAUUAGUAGAAGACUUACUGAAAGACUGGUGGAAAGAAUUUGGAAGGUUUUAAUGAGGAAAAUAUUCCCAAGUGGGGGAAAAAUAAAUGGGUUCAGCUGCCUUCCUUUAUUAGGUAAGGCUACUUCAGAAUACUUCUAGAACUGGGAGAGUAUGUAUUAAGUUAUGAAAGAUAUACACAUGGCCAUUCCAUAUAUUUUUACCAAAAAUGUGAAAGAAGAAACCCAACCCAGCAAAAUGGUUUAUGGAAAAAAAAAAAAAAAAGGCUGAAAAGCCAUGAUUGAUGCCAACAGUACAAGAGAUGUUAAUAUUUCAGCUUUAUUUCACUGUGUGGUGUUCUCUCUUGGGCACUGAUAGCUUGUGGCACGUGAUCUGUGAGAUAAUCAAGGCCUCUUCCUCAAGAUAAACCAUAAACAAGUCUGGUUAGAGCUAGGAGCCUGAGAGAGCGCCAAUGGAUUCAAGGACGAGCAUCUUGUGGCCUUUCAUAGUAGUCACCAAGAAAUGUAUGAUCUUCGUCAUCUAAGAGCAGAUAAACCAGCGCAUGGACUACUCAAUUCUGCACACAAAUGCAGAAAUGGUUUGUUAUGGACUGGUCUGAGGUGUGACUGACUGUGAACAGACCAACUACAGGGAAAGGAGUUUGGAAGCCAUGUAAAAGAUCUGCUUACAGGUGAUGGGUAGGGUCUCCACUAAUCUGUAAAAGCCUGAAAUAUUAAGAGGAUCUCACACUUUCCAGAGCUGUGGAGACACUUCUCUGCACUGGGCUGCAGCACUACAAUUGUGUCUGCAUUUGUUCCUAUCAGGACUGAGAAGACAAGUGACAACCAGUCCAAAGUGCCAGACUGAAAGCCUUCCCCAGCUUCCAACACAUCUUUCCCAGCAAAGCGUCCGUGAGCCUGAAGGGUUCUCUUCAAUCAGUUUUUUCUUUACUUAGUCAUAAUUGAAAAUUGGCAACAAGUGUCUGUAAAGAUCCCCCCCAGCCUUUUUGUUUUCCAGGGGAAAAUUACUAGUACAUGUCUCAGCUCGCAUCUCUCUGCUCCUUGCUAUCAGCGCACACUGUACCUGCUCAAAGUAAUUAUUGCACUCUUCUUUGUGCAUGGAGUGACUGAAACGCCCCAUUCCCUUCAAGCAGCCUUCCUCCUUCCUGCCUGUUUUCAGCCGCAUGAAGCCACACUAAAUGAAGACUAACCUGACUGCUCAGUGAGCUCACACAGUAGGAUGCAAUGGUUUCCUUCUGGCUAACUUUGCAAUCCCAAUGACCUGUUGUCACGAUGCGGUUGUUCAGCUGGGGGUGAGCUUUGAUUUCUGCUCCUUUUGAGGGACGUGGUUGCUGGCUGCCCUAUGUGCCCUAUGUCUUAAGUAAGUGCAUUUGGGAAUACAAAAGAAAGACCAACCUGAAUUAGAAGGUUCGGAUGAGACCCUUUCUAAAAGCUUGACUGCUUGCUGCCAGAAGAGAAGCUCAUUAUUUCUGUCUUCCGAUAAGAAUGGCUUUACAGAGUUGAGAAAGGAAGUGGUUGUGUUCUCACGCAUCUUCAACAGCUAAAAUUACGUUGUCGUGUACUUCUGUAGUGCUCUAAUUGUUAUAAACUCAGUUUCUGUUCAUGUUUAUGGACCAUCUGCAGUUAUCUCUUAAACAGAAGGAGCUGUAUAUUUGCGUGGUCCUUCUUGUUCUAGUCAUGUAUUUAAGUGCAAUGCAAGGAUGGUUCUGGCUAAACGCGUUCCAAGCUCUAGAGCUUUUAAGUUAGUUUAAUUACAAAUAUGUAUUUUAU